ACACAUGCAAGUCGAACGGCAGCACGGGAGCAAUCCUGGUGGCGAGUGGCGAACGGGUGAGUAAUAUAUCGGAACGUGCCCAGUCGUGGGGGAUAACGCAGCGAAAGCUGUGCUAAUACCGCAUACGAUCUCUGGAUGAAAGCGGGGGACCGCAAGGCCUCGCGCGAUUGGAGCGGCCGAUAUCAGAUUAGCUAGUUGGUGGGGUAAAAGUCCACCAAGGCGACGAUCUGUAGCUGGUCUGAGAGGACGACCAGCCACACUGGAACUGAGACACGGUCCAGACUCCUACGGGAGGCAGCAGUGGGGAAUUUUGGACAAUGGGCGCAAGCCUGAUCCAGCAAUGCCGCGUGCAGGAUGAAGGCCUUCGGGUUGUAAACUGCUUUUGUACGGAACGAAACGGCUCUUUCUAAUAAAGGGGGCUAAUGACGGUACCGKAAGAAUAAGCACC
rnacentral:rRNA from 1 species